CCUACGGGCCGCACCAGUGGGGAAUAUUGGACAAUGGGCGAAAGCCUGAUCCAGCAAUGCCGCGUGUGUGAAGAAGGUCUUCGGAUUGUAAAGCACUUUCGACGGAGACGAUGAUGACGGUACCCGUAGAAGAAGCCCCGGCUAACUUCGUGCCAGCAGCCGCGGUAAUACGAAGGGGGCUAGCGUUGCCCGGAAUGACUGGGCGUAAAGGGCGCGUAGGCGGUUUAUGCAGUCAGAUGUGAAAUCCCCGGGCUUAACCUGGGAACUGCAUUUGAGACGCAUAGACUAGAGGUCGAGAGAGGGUUGUGGAAUUCCCAGUGUAGAGGUGAAAUUCGUAGAUAUUGGGAAGAACACCGGUGGCGAAGGCGGCAACCUGGCUCGAUACUGGCGCUGAGGUGCGAAAGCGUGGGGAGCAAACAGGAUUAGAUACCCGGGUAGUC
rnacentral:rRNA from 1 species